GGGAUUCCUUAGUACGGCGAGUGAGCGGUAAAAGCUCAAAUUUGAAAUCUGGUACUUUCAGUGCCCGAGUUGUAAUUUGUAGAAUUUGUCUUUGAUUAGGUCCUUGUCUAUGUUCCUUGGAACAGGACGUCAUAGAGGGUGAGAAUCCCGUUUGGCGAGGAUACCUUUUCUCUGUAAGACUUUUUCGAAGAGUCGAGUUGUUUGGGAAUGCAGCUCAAAGUGGGUGGUAAAUUCCAUCUAAAGCUAAAUAUUGGCGAGAGACCGAUAGCGAACAAGUACAGUGAUGGAAAGAUGAAAAGAACUUUGAAAAGAGAGUGAAAAAGUACGUGAAAUUGUUGAAAGGGAAGGGCAUUUGAUCAGACAUGGUGUUUUUUGCAUGCACUCGCCUCUCGUGGGCUUGGGCCUCUCAAAAAUUUCACUGGGCCAACAUCAAUUCUGGCAGCAGGAUAAAUCAUUAAGAAUGUAGCUACUUCGGUAGUGUUAUAGCUUUUUGGAAUACUGUUAGCCGGGAUUGAGGACUGCGCUUCGGCAAGGAUGUUGGCAUAAUGGUUAAAUGCCGCCCGUCUUGAAACACGGACCA
rnacentral:rRNA from 1 species